GAUGAAGAACGUAGCGAAAUGCGAUAAGUAAUGUGAAUUGCAGAAUUCAGUGAAUCAUCGAAUCUUUGAACGCACAUUGCGCCCCCUGGUAUUCCGGGGGGCAUGCCUGUUCGAGCGUCAUUUCACCACUCAAGCCUCGCUUGGUAUUGGGCAACGCGGUCCGCCGCGUGCCUCAAAUCGACCGGCUGGGUCUUCUGUCCCCUAAGCGUUGUGGAAACUAUUCGCUAAAGGGUGUUCGGGAGGCUACGCCGUAAAACAACCCCAUUUCUAAGGUUGACCUCGGAUCUGGUAGGGAUACCCGCUGAACUUAAGCAUAUCAAUAAGCGGAGGA
rnacentral:misc_RNA from 1 species